CACAUUCCAAUCUUUGAGAAAUGAUGUUGUGGGGGCCUUGAUGGCUAGGUUUGAUGCCAUUGCCUGAAAAUGUGAGAGUGAUAUGGAUAUUAUUAAGGGACAUAUAAGGGAUAUUAAAGGUUAUGUAGGAGAAAUGAAAGGUGAUUUGGGUUCAAUGAAAGGUGACUUGAAUUAUUUAAAAGGUGGUGUGAUUAGAAUGAAAGCGGGGGGUAGAUAUAAUAUGUCCACCAAACCCUCCACUAGCUCAAACCCCUCAAAACCAAAGAUCCUACACUCCACCAAAUCCAAGGCCACUAAUUCACAUCCUUCCUCAUAAAAAUCUGGUUUCUCCUCUCCAAAUUAUACUAAACCGAGACCCCUCCAUCCAAGUAGAAGACGAGGGAGAGUUAAGGUCCAAGAAGAAUGAGGUCAAGCCUCAAGAUGGAGAGAAAAUAGGUGGAGAGAUAAAAGGAAAAUGUAAAUAAAAAGGGAAAAGGGAAAGGGAUGCCACGGGUAGUAAAGUGAGAAGGGAAAAAGAGCACUUGAUUAUUGGUUUUGUCCACAAAGACCUCUUGUUAUUCACUAACCCAAAUGAUAGCACUUUUACUAGCAUUGAUUCUUUUUAUGUGCAGGUUCAAGAUCAUACAUUAUCAAAAAAGAAUCCAAAAGGAUUUCCACACACACACGGUUGA
rnacentral:lncRNA from 1 species